rnacentral:rRNA from 1 species
GACGAACGCUGGCGGCGUGCUUAACACAUGCAAGUCGAACGCUGAAGCUUGGUGCUUGCACUGGGUGGAUGAGUGGCGAACGGGUGAGUAAUACGUGAGUAACCUGCCCUUGACUCUGGGAUAAGCCUGGGAAACUGGGUCUAAUACUGGAUACGACAUGUCACCGCAUGGUGGUGUGUGGAAGGGGUUUUACUGGUUUUGGAUGGGCUCACGGCCUAUCAGCUUGUUGGUGGGGUAAUGGCUCACCAAGGCGACGACGGGUAGCCGGCCUGAGAGGGUGACCGGCCACACUGGGACUGAGACACGGCCCAGACUCCUACGGGAGGCAGCAGUGGGGAAUAUUGCACAAUGGGCGGAAGCCUGAUGCAGCGACGCCGCGUGAGGGAUGACGGCCUUCGGGUUGUAAACCUCUUUCAGCACGGAAGAAGCGAAAGUGACGGUACGUGCAGAAGAAGCGCCGGCUAACUACGUG